rnacentral:tRNA from 1 species
GUUGUAGCUUAGUGGUAGAGCGCGUGCUUAGCAUGUGUGAGGCCCUGGGUUUGAUCCUCAGCACACA